GGGAAAUACAUUUUAUGGGACCUUUCUGGUUGUGGCCAGCAAACAGAGAGAUAGACCAACUGCUGGCCCCACCCCAUUUCCUCCAAGAAGACUGGUGGGCACUGAAGAAACUCCAGCCACAAAAAUGGCAACACUGGCUACUGAGCGAGCAAUCCUUCCCUUCACCUCAGCUGCUGCAAAGGACUCUUUGGACCAUGUACAAGAGGACAAUGGAAUCAACUUUCCCCCCGUUGCUUGGGUCAAUGAUAGGCAAGUCUUCUUAUAGUUCCCGAUCCUCAGGUCCCAUGCUAUCACCAGAAGGCGGGUGUCCUGCAGGCCACAACCAUGGAUGGAGGACCUUGGGGGUGGCUGUUCAUGCAGCCUGCUGCUCCCGAAUUCCUACUUCAACACACCAAUGCAGUCUCUAACAGUCUUAGCAAAUGAAUGCUUCACACAGGAGCGGAACCAAAGCCUCCGCAGCCCGUGCUUUCCCUCAGCAAGACAGGACAAAACCUUUGGUUCCGACGAAUCUGCUUAGUCUAACGCUAUGACAUCACCAAGAUCUUCUGCUUGCUCCAAGCCGGACCUCUUGGCACUGGCUCUCUCAGUCUCUUCCAAUUUAUGCUUGAGGGCUCUGACGUCCUCGCUGCCGUCAGCGCUAUUUGAAGGGCCUUCUUCAUCGGAAUCAACUAUGAGCAUAUCAUCUUGAUCUUGUGCUGUGGAGGCUAAAGGCUGAGCACCAUCGUCACCGACGUUGGUGAAGCUUUUGGCAGCUUCUUAAGCUUGUUUGGGACUCAUUUUUUUC
rnacentral:lncRNA from 1 species